UACGUAGGUGGCAAGCGUGGUUCGGAAUUACUGGGCGUAAAGCGCGCGUAGGCGGCUCUUCAAGUCAGGCGUGAAAGCCCCGGGCUUAACUCGGGAACUGCGCUUGAUACUGUCGAGCUAGAGUGUGGAAGGGGCGAUUGGAAUUCCGUGUGUAGCGGUGAAAUGCGUAGAUAUCUGGAGGAACACCGGUGGCGAAGGCGGUUCUCUGGGAAUGUCCUGACGCUGAGGAGCGAAAGUGUGGGGAGCGAACAGG
rnacentral:rRNA from 1 species